rnacentral:rRNA from 1 species
GAGUUUGAUCCUGGCUCAGAAUCAACGCUGGCGGCGUGCCUAACACAUGCAAGUCGAACGUGAAAGGGGCUUCGGCCCCGAGUAAAGUGGCAAACGGGUGAGUAACGCGUGGGUGAUCUGCCUCUGAGUGGGGGAUAACCUUCCGAAAGGGGGGCUAAUACCGCAUGACAUCCUGUUCUUGGAUGAACGGAGAUCGAAGCCGGGGACCGCAAGGCCUGGCGCUUGGAGAGGAGCCCGCGUCCGAUUAGCUAGUUGGUGGGGUAACGGCCUACCAAGGCGACGAUCGGUAGCCGGCCUGAGAGGGCGGACGGCCACACUGGGACUGAGACACGGCCCAGACUCCUACGGGAGGCAGCAGUGGGGAAUAUUGGACAAUGGGGGGAACCCUGAUCCAGCCAUGCCGCGUGUGUGAAGAAGGCCUUUUGGUUGUAAAGCACUUUAAGCGAGGAGGAGGCUACCGAGAUUAAUACUCUUGGAUAGUGGACGUUACUCGCAGAAUAAGCACCGGCUAACUCUGUGCCAGCAGCCGCGGUAAUACAGAGGGUGCAAGCGUUAAUCGGAUUUACUGGGCGUAAAGCGCGCGUAGGUGGCCAAUUAAGUCAAAUGUGAAAUCCCCGAGCUUAACUUGGGAAUUGCAUUCGAUACUGGUUGGCUAGAGUAUGGGAGAGGAUGGUAGAAUUCCAGGUGUAGCGGUGAAAUGCGUAGAGAUCUGGAGGAAUACCGAUGGCGAAGGCAGCCAUCUGGCCUAAUACUGACACUG